rnacentral:rRNA from 1 species
UACGUAGGGCGCAAGCGUUGUCCGGAAUUAUUGGGCGUAAAGAGCUCGUAGGCGGCCUGUUGCGUCCGCUGUGAAAUCCCGGGGCUUAACCCCGGGCCUGCAGUGGAUACGGGCAGGCUGGAGGCAGGCAGGGGAGAACGGAAUUCCCGGUGUAGUGGUGAAAUGCGCAGAUAUCAGGAGGAACACCGGUGGCGAAGGCGGGUCUCUGGGCCGAUACUGACGCUGAGGAGCGAAAGCGUGGGGAGCGAACAGG